rnacentral:misc_RNA from 1 species
CGAAAUGCGAUAAGUAAUGUGAAUUGCAGAAUUCAGUGAAUCAUCGAAUCUUUGAACGCACAUUGCGCCUAUUAGUAUUCUAGUAGGCAUGCCUGUCCGAGCGUCAUUUCAACCCUCAGAACCCCUUGCGGGAUCUGGCGUUGGGGAUUGGCAUCCAGCCAGCCCCGAAAUCUAGUGGCGGUCCCUCCGCGACCUCCCCUGUGCAGUAGCGAUACCUCGCAGCGGGACAGCGGUCUGACCACGCCGUAAAACCCCCAACUUCUCAAGGUUGACCUCGAAUCAGGUAGGAAUACCCGCUGAACUUAAGC